UACGUAGGGGGCAAGCGUUGUCCGGAAUCAUUGGGCGUAAAGCGCGUGUAGGCGGUUCAGGAAGUCUGCUGUGAAAGUCCAGGGCUCAACCCUGGGAUGCCGGUGGAUACUGCUGGGCUAGAGUACGGAAGAGGCGAGUGGAAUUCCCGGUGUAGCGGUGAAAUGCGCAGAUAUCGGGAGGAACACCUAUUGCGAAGGCAGCUCGCUGGGACGUUACUGACGCUGAGACGCGAAAGCGUGGGGAGCAAACAGG
rnacentral:rRNA from 1 species